GAUGAACGCUAGCUACAGACUUAACACAUGCAAGUCGAGGGGAAACGAUAUUGGAAGCUUGCUUCCGAUAGGCGUCGACCGGCGCACGGGUGAGUAACGCGUAUCCAACCUGCCCGUCACUUGGGGGAUAACCUUGCGAAAGUAAGACUAAUACCCAAUGAUAUCCCACGAAGGCAUCCGAAUGGGAUUAAAGAUUUAUCGGUGAUGGAUGGGGAUGCGUCUGAUUAGCUUGUUGGCGGGGUAACGGCCCACCAAGGCAACGAUCAGUAGGGGUUCUGAGAGGAAGGUCCCCCACAUUGGAACUGAGACACGGUCCAAACUCCUACGGGAGGCAGCAGUGAGGAAUAUUGGUCAAUGGGCGAGAGCCUGAACCAGCCAAGUAGCGUGCAGGACGACGGCCCUAUGGGUUGUAAACUGCUUUUAUAAGGGAAUAAAGUGAGUCUCGUGAGACUUUUUGCAUGUACCUUAUGAAUAAGGACCGGCUAAUUCCGUG
rnacentral:rRNA from 1 species